rnacentral:rRNA from 1 species
UACGUAGGGGGCAAGCGUUGUCCGGAAUCAUUGGGCGUAAAGAGCGUGUAGGCGGCCAGAUAAGUCCGCUGUGAAAUCUCGAGGCUCAACUUCGAGCUGUCGGUGGAAACUGUCUGGCUAGAGUCCGGAAGAGGAGAAUGGAAUUUACGGUGUAGCGGUGAAAUGCGUAGAUAUCGUAAGGAAGACCAGUGGCGAAGGCGGGUCUCUGGGCAUCUCCUGACGCUGAGGCGCGAAAGCGUGGGGAGCAAACGGG